rnacentral:lncRNA from 1 species
ACAGCACUAUGCAAAAACGAAUUUCAAAAAUAAUCUUAUAACAUAUAUUAUAGAAGCAGCAUUCUUAAAAAGAAGUCAAUUACAAACAAGACCCAAACGGACAGACACACGUAAAUACCUCCACGCAUCGCAGAAGCGAGAACCCAGAGGAAUCCACAGGCAAGCUGCAAAACGUCGUUGUCACCUCCACGAAGCUCGGGGCGAAAACCACUGGAGGCACGACGUUCAAACGAACCCAUAAUAAUGCUUGGAGUCAGGGUGGAAAAGCCUCCCCAGGAGGCUUGAAGAGGAAGAAGACUUCGUUGAUGAAGACCAACAUCGGUGACCCAAGGACGCAGUUGAAAGCGAUGCCAACGGGUAGAAAAGUAGAGUCCUCAAAUCCAGGGGAAUGCUUGCAACAUAACAAAUGACAGAGGUCCAUGGGGACCCAGAGAUGCUUCAGUAGAAAAAACAGUGGGGGAGAGAGGAGAAGCAAACCAAAACCAUAGCAAAAAAUCAGCAAGCAAAGACCGCAGAGAUUCACUCCUGUGAAAACAGAAGCAAAUAUGUAGCACAAGCAAGCAUAUCUACCAUGACUCUAAACUAAACAAAAACCAAAGCAACCAGAUCCAUGUAGAAAUCUGGAAGCAAGAGAAAGGAGGGAAAAAUAAGGAAGGACGAAGGAGGAGGAAGAGCCAAACCACAGGGCAGAGGAAACGGAGGAAGAGGAACGA